CCCCAGUAAACGGCGGCCGUAACUAUAACGGUCCUAAGGUAGCGAAAUUCCUUGUCGGGUAAGUUCCGACCCGCACGAAAGGCGUAACGAUUUGGGCACUGUCUCAACAACAGACUCGGUGAAAUUGUAAUUCCGGUGAAGAUGCCGGAUACCUGCGACAGGACGGAAAGACCCCAUGGAGCUUUACUGUAGCUUGACAUUGGGUCUUGGUACUACAUGUACAGGAUAGGUGGGAGGCUUUGAAACCAGGACGCCAGUUU
rnacentral:rRNA from 1 species